UGCUGGGGCCACGGGGGCUGCUCAAAUAAACUGCGGGCAAUGGGGCUCACGGAGCAACUGCUCUGGGGCCCCUCAGGAGUAACUGAGCCCGGGGCAGAUGCCUUGUUUGCCCAGAUAGUAAAGACGCCCGUGAUAGUAAGGAUAUCACUACCUGCUUGUAGUUUCUCUGACUAUCGGCAGCCAGGUUGUGAAUUAACGGCAGCUUACUUAGCGUUGUUGGGACUGAGCCUGUCUUUCUGGCAUGAGGGGGUGUGGCUAAUAAGGCAGGCUUAUUGUGCAGUGUUCUACAAAGCAUUUUUUUCUGUGCAAAAACUAUAGAGUUGAGCAUGCAAAUAAAUAAAUGAGGCCAAAAUCUAUCAAAUGCAUUAAAGUUGUAUUGGAUUGUCCCUUUAAAUUCCCCUUACUAGUCCCGUGCAUAUCUUUAACAGAACAUAAAAAGAAUACCUUAAGGCCAUACUGCUGGCUUUUCUUAAUGUCUAAGAUGUUGGAUGGAAAGGGACAUGGACUGCAUGCUGUUGUUUAGAUUGUGUGAUAAUCUUGCAUGCGAACAUUAGAAAAUCUUAGUAAUGUAUCAUGGUGUAAUCUACUGGUCAUUUCUGCUUAUUGUAUUCCAAUCUAGACUGCAACAGUAAAGAGACCCACUGCAUGCUUUGUUUGAAUUAAUCUUCUGUUCGUUCUAAUGCAGUGAUGGCUAACCUUGACACUGAAGAUCUCUGUAAACUUUUCUCAGGACGCUCAGCCAGCCUUCAGAUCUUGAUGUUGGCUGAGGAUCAUGGUACAUGGAGUUCACUGAAAUCUGCAGCGUUAAGGCUUAUAGUGACUGAUGCAAGGUGUGCCCUGGGAUUUAGCUCUCUGUGGUUGUCUGGGACCAUCUUUGACCGAGCUUGAAACUUCUGCCAUACCCUGUGUAGCACUCAGUUGUGAUUUUUCUCACAGGCCGCAUAGUGAGGCCCUCUGAUUUGACAUCUGAAACUCCACGCAGCAUUUACAGAUAUAUAAAGGGAUGCUUCUGAAUCCUGUAGAGUUGAAUGGCAAUUUAACUUAAUACAUUUGGAUACCUGGCAGAUCAGUUAAGCAGCUGUAUACCAACAUGUUGCAGAACAAUGCCAAACAGCAUCCCCUUAACGCUGAACUCUGCAUGGCCAAAUCUCCCCACCCUCAGUUUACAUUCCGAGCUCAGCCAAACUUGUGUAUAUGAGAACCUAGACUAACAAAUGUCAACUUGGCAAUGGAUUCAGGGUAUUCUAUGCUAGUGAAUGAAGCCCAAGGAGUCUUUAAUAAAUUGUCAGAACUGCACAAAAUCGAAAAGUUUACACCAGGAGAGUCUAAAAUGGAGACCUCAUAGCUACAACUCCCACUAUAGUGCAUACAGCCUGUGCUGUACCUUUUAUUAGUGUGGUUAAAGUGGAUUUAUUUCUGCCGUAUUGGUCCUAAUCAGUGGUGAGGGGAUCUGUCUUGACCUUAUUUUCAUGUUUACUCCUCUCCACAAAUAUAUUUUUCCCUACUGAUGGAAGUGAAUGUGUUCUGGUAGUUCAUAUGGAGGCUAGUAGGGACAGAAGUAUUACACUAUUUAAAAAAAAUUAAAAAGUAAAACAUGGGCAGUUUGUUAAACUAGAUUACCUGUACCACAACUCUAAAAGGUGAUAUAUGAAAGGUAAUCAGACCACCUAACAUUGGACCUUCCACGACUGAGACAUAUAUAAAUUGUUAGGGUUUUAGGAGCCCAUCUUCUAUAACUGUAUGAUUGGAACCUUGUGCAGUCAGCCAAUUCCUCCUUAUUGACCCUGUUUGAAGAAAAGUCUACAGUGAGAACUUGUCACACAUUGUUUUCAUGCCUGCUCUAAUCCUUGCCUCUGAUUGGUGCUGCUGGCCAGCACUUGUCAAAUAAGACCUUUUUAGGCAAGGAGAGGAGAUUCAGACAGACAAGUUAGCUAACAUUCCUUGCACUUGUUUGAGUCCCGGGCUAAGAUGCUUCAAGACAUUAAAGAGUUUUAGUCCUGUUAUGUAGGAAAGUAGUAUGUACUUUGUGGUGUUACUAGUUACUGCAUCUGUGGUAAUAAUGUUUCAAAUAUGGAAACUUAGUGUUGUAAACCGUAUGUGUUGCAUGGCACUUAAGAAAAAAAUAAAACAAAUAAUAACUGUUACCGAGUUAUGUUUUUAUUAUGGACCUAAACAGAUCCCUUUGAGGCAUUUUUUUUCUUUUCAAUCUACCAAACUGAC